AUUGAACGCUGGCGGCAGGCCUAACACAUGCAAGUCGAACGAGUGGCGGACGGGUGAGUAAUGUCUGGGAAACUGCCCGAUGGAGGGGGAUAACUACUGGAAACGGUAGCUCAUACCGCAUACCCUCGGAUGUGCCCCGAUGGGAUUAGCGAGUAGGUGGGGGAACGGCUCACCUAGGCGACGAUCCCUAGCUGGUCUGAGAGGAUGACCAGCCACACGGGAACUGAGACACGGUCUAUACUCCUACGGUAGGCAGCAGUGGGGAAUAUUGCACAAUGGGCGCAAGCCUGAUGCAGCCAUGCCGCGUGUAUGAAGAAGGCCUUCGGGUUGUAAAGUACUUUCAGCGAGGAGGCGUUACUCGCAGAAGAAGCACCGGCUAACUCCGUGCCAGCAGCCGCGGUAAUAG
rnacentral:rRNA from 1 species